rnacentral:lncRNA from 1 species
AGAGAUACUAUGCAUUGGUGUUAUGAAUUCCACAUUUUAAUAAAACCUGGGAACACAAUAAAAGAUGGGAUAUAAAUUUGUUCACUUAAAAUUGAAGCUUAGUGACUUAAUUAUUACUAGAAUUUAGCAACUAGUUUAGUGAUUUUUAAAUUUGGGCCAGGCCUGACUCACCCAAAAGCUAGCUCAAGGGGGAGGAGUGCCUAUGGCCCAUAUAAGAGGCACAUUACCCCUUCCCACAACCGAUGUGGGAUUCAAUACAUCCCUUCACGCUCAGAAUUUUUAGGCACAUUUAUGGGACGCCCAACAUCGGAUGGGAGGCUCUGAUACCAUGUUAAAUUUGGGUCAGACCUGACUCACCCCAAAAGCUAGCUCAAGGGGGGAGUAGUGCCUAUGGCCCAUAUAAGGGGCACAUUACCCCUUUCCACAAUCGAUGUGGGAUUCAACAGUGAUCAUUAGUAUAAUUUUCUUGCUAGCAAGAUCAAGUUGAGAAGUAUUGAUCUUGGUUUUAAAGAUCCAAAUUGUAUACCAUCAUGAUUUUACCAUUGACAUGCCACAUUAUUGGACACCUGUCCUAAAUGGUGGUACAGUGAGGGACUACCAAAAUAGUUAUGGUUGUGGCUAUUGGUUUUGGGAGUUGCCAUGAGUGAGUAGUUGAUUUGGUGGUUAGGAGAUGCAAAUAGUGGUAUUGAUGAUGGUUGUUAACUUGCUGAUAUUGAAUCCCUUGAUAAAAGCAUGUAUACUUGAUUGCCAAGAAGGGGAGAAAAUGAAAAGGG